UACGUAGGCAGCGAGCGUUGUUCGGAAUUACUGGGCGUAAAGAGUGUGUAGGCGGUGCUCUAAGUUCGGUGUGAAAUCUCCUGGCUCAACUGGGAGGGUGCGCCGGAAACUGGAGUGCUUGAGCGUGGGAGAGGAAAGCGGAAUUCCUGGUGUAGCGGUGAAAUGCGUAGAUAUCAGGAGGAACACCUGUGGUGUAGACGGCUUUCUGGACCAUAGCUGACGCUGAGACACGAAAGCGUGGGUAGCAAGCAGG
rnacentral:rRNA from 1 species